AACGAACGCUGGCGGCAUGCCUAACACAUGCAAGUCGAACGAAGCCUUCGGGCUUAGUGGCGCACGGGUGCGUAACGCGUGGGAAUCUGCCCUUUGGUUCGGAAUAACAGUUGGAAACGACUGCUAAUACCGGAUGAUGACGAAAGUCCAAAGAUUUAUCGCCAGAGGAUGAGCCCGCGUAGGAUUAGCUAGUUGGUGUGGUAGAGGCGCACCAAGGCGACGAUCCUUAGCUGGUCUGAGAGGAUGAUCAGCCACACUGGGACUGAGACACGGCCCAGACUCCUACGGGAGGCAGCAGUGGGGAAGAUUGGACAAUGGGCGAAAGCCUGAUCCAGCAAUGCCGCGUGAGUGAUGAAGGCCCUAGGGUUGUAAAGCUCUUUUACCCGGGAUGAUAAUGACAGUACCGGGAGAAUAAGCCCUGGCUAACUCCGUGCCAGCCGCCGCCGUAA
rnacentral:rRNA from 1 species